rnacentral:rRNA from 1 species
AAAUUGAAGAGUUUGAUCAUGGCUCAGAUUGAACGCUGGCGGCAGGCCUAACACAUGCAAGUCGAGCGGUAGCACAGAGAGCUUGCUCUCGGGUGACGAGCGGCGGACGGGUGAGUAAUGUCUGGGAAACUGCCUGAUGGAGGGGGAUAACUACUGGAAACGGUAGCUAAUACCGCAUAAUGUCGCAAGACCAAAGUGGGGGACCUUCGGGCCUCAUGCCAUCAGAUGUGCCCAGAUGGGAUUAGCUAGUAGGUGGGGUAACGGCUCACCUAGGCGACGAUCCCUAGCUGGUCUUAGAGGAUGACCAGCCACACUGGAACUGAGACACGGUCCAGACUCCUACGGGAGGCAGCAGUGGGGAAUAUUGCACAAUGGGCGCAAGCCUGAUGCAGCCAUGCCGCGUGUGUGAAGAAGGCCUUCGGGUUGUAAAGCACUUUCAGCGGGGAGGAAGGCGGUGAGGUUAAUAACCUCAUCGAUUGACGUUACCCGCAGAAGAAGCACCGGCUAACUCCGUGCCAGCAGCCGCGGUAAUACGGAGGGUGCAAGCGUUAAUCGGAAUUACUGGGCGUAAAGCGCACGCAGGCGGUCUGUCAAGUCGGAUGUGAAAUCCCCGGGCUCAACCUGGGAACUGCAUUCGAAACUGGCAGGCUAGAGUCUUGUAGAGGGGGGUAGAAUUCCAGGUGUAGCGGUGAAAUGCGUAGAGAUCUGGAGGAAUACCGGUGGCGAAGGCGGCCCCCUGGACAAAGACUGACGCUCAGGUGCGAAAGCGUGGGGAGCAAACAGGAUUAGAUACCCUGGUAGUCCACGCCGUAAACGAUGUCGAUUUGGAGGUUGUGCCCUUGAGGCGUGGCUUCCGGAGCUAACGCGUUAAAUCGACCGCCUGGGGAGUACGGCCGCAAGGUUAAAACUCAAAUGAAUUGACGGGGGCCCGCACAAGCGGUGGAGCAUGUGGUUUAAUUCGAUGCAACGCGAAGAACCUUACCUGGUCUUGACAUCCACAGAACUUAGCAGAGAUGCUUUGGUGCCUUCGGGAACUGUGAGACAGGUGCUGCAUGGCUGUCGUCAGCUCGUGUUGUGAAAUGUUGGGUUAAGUCCCGCAACGAGCGCAACCCUUAUCCUUUGUUGCCAGCGGUCCGGCCGGGAACUCAAAGGAGACUGCCAGUGAUAAACUGGAGGAAGGUGGGGAUGACGUCAAGUCAUCAUGGCCCUUACGACCAGGGCUACACACGUGCUACAAUGGCAUAUACAAAGAGAAGCGACCUCGCGAGAGCAAGCGGACCUCAUAAAGUAUGUCGUAGUCCGGAUUGGAGUCUGCAACUCGACUCCAUGAAGUCGGAAUCGCUAGUAAUCGUAGAUCAGAAUGCUACGGUGAAUACGUUCCCGGGCCUUGUACACACCGCCCGUCACACCAUGGGAGUGGGUUGCAAAAGAAGUAGGUAGCUUAACCUUCGGGAGGGCGCUUACCACUUUGUGAUUCAUGACUGGGGUGAAGUCGUAACAAGGUAACCGUAGGGGAACCUGCGGUUGGAUCACCUCCUUA